GACAGAGGGUGCAAACGUUGUUCGGAUUUACUGGGCGUAAAGCGCGUGUAGGCGGCCUGAAAGGUCAGCUGUGAAAACUCGAGGCUCAACCUCGAGACGUCGGUUGAAACCAUCUGGCUAGAGUCCGGAAGAGGAGAGUGGAAUUCCCGGUGUAGCGGUGAAAUGCGCAGAUAUCGGGAAGAACACCCGUGGCGAAGGCGGCUCUCUGGGACGGUACUGACGCUGAGACGCGAAAGCGUGGGGAGCGAACAGG
rnacentral:rRNA from 1 species